rnacentral:rRNA from 1 species
AUUGAACGCUGGCGGCAGGCCUAACACAUGCAAGUCGAACGAGUGGCGGACGGGUGAGUAAUGUCUGGGAAUCUGCCUGAUAGAGGGGGAUAACUACUGGAAACGGUAGCUAAUACCGCAUACCAUCGGUUGAGCCCAUAUGGGAUUAGCUAGUAGGUGGGGUAAAGGCUCACCUAGGCGACGAUCCCUAGCUGGUCUGAGAGGAUGACCAGACACACUGGGACUGAGAAACGGUCCAGACUCCUACGGGAGGCAGCAGUGGGGAAUAGUGCACAAUGGGCGCAAGCCUGAUGCAGCCAUGCCGCGUGUAUGAAGAAGGCCUUAGGGGUGUAAAGUACUUUCAGCGGGGAGGCGUUACCCGCAGAAGAAGCACCGGCUAACUCCGUGCCAGCAGCCGCGGUAAUAC